rnacentral:rRNA from 1 species
UGGUGGAGUGAUUUGUCUGGUUAAUUCCGUUAACGAACGAGGCCUCAGCCUGCUAAGUAGUAUGCGUUUUCUUACGAAAGCGUAAGACUUCUUAGAGGGACAUUUUGGUUUUACCAAAAGGAAGUUUGAGGCAAUAACA